AGCAGCCGCGGUAAUUCCAGCUCCAAUAGCGUAUAUUAAAGUUGUUGCAGUUAAAAAGCUCGUAGUUGAAUUUCGGGAUCAAGGAAUCGGUCAUGCCUCGGUAUGUACUGGUUUUAUUGGUUCUCACCUUCUAAAAGAACCAUGAUGUCAUUCAUUUGAUGUUAUGGGGAAUUAGGACUGUUACCUUGAAAAAUUAGAGUGUUUAAAGCAGGCUUACGCUUGAAUACAUUAGCAUGGAAUAAUGAAAUAGGACGUUUGAUUCUAUUUUGUUGGUUUCUAGGAUCGACGUAAUGAUUAAUAGGGAUAGUUGGGGGGCAUUAGUAUUCAAUUGUCAGAGGUGAAAUUCUUGGAUUUAUUGAAGACUAACUACUGCGAAAGCAUUUGCCAAGGAUGUUUUCAUUAAUCAAGAACGAAAGUUAGGGGAUCGAAGACGAUCAGAUACCGUCGUAGUCUUAACCAUAAACCUAUGCCGACUAGGGAUCGGGAUGAUGUUAAUUUUUAAUGUACUCAUUCGGCGCCU
rnacentral:misc_RNA from 1 species